GGUGUCGUAGCUCAGGUGGUAGAGCAAUGGACUGAAAAUCCAUGUGUCGCCGGUUCGACUCCUGCCGACACCACCA
rnacentral:tRNA from 1 species